rnacentral:rRNA from 1 species
AUGGAAUAUCAGCCGCUCAUCUCAGCGCUGGACGUCCUCACCGAGCCCAUCACGGUCGAUCAUCUCUUCUCCCUCGUGGCCAACUUCGAUCAGAGGGUCGAGUUGUACCACGACAAUGGCAGCGGUGGCUUCAAAUCCUCGGCAAACGCCGCUUCUCGCGGUCGCCAGGGAGGCAGAGGGGGCUACCGCAAUCAGAGAAACGGGGGAAACAGUGGCGGCUCUCGCGGUGGAAGUGGUGGCAGCGGUGGUCAAGCUGGUGGCAGCGGCGGCUACCAAGGAGGCGGCGGCGGCAGCGGCUACAAUAACAGCGGUGGCGGCUGCCAGAACGGCGGCGGCGGCUAUCAGCAGAAUCAUGGUGGUGGCGGCUAUCAGGGAGGUGGCUAUCAGGGCGGUGGCAGCGGCUAUCACCCUAACAACUCUGGCGGUAACAACAACCGGCGCCCUCCUUACAACAACAACAACAGGGGCGCAACUUCCAAGGUUAUGAAGGCCAUGAAGGGAAGUGUCAAAUAUGUAAAAAAACAAAUCAUAUUGCUAAGGAUUGUGAUUGGCGCUACGCUGAUGACAAUUCCCAGAAAAAGAAAGUUGCAGUUGCAGCCGAUGGGUCAUAUGGAGUCGAUACCAACUGGUACAUGGACACAGGUGCGACAAACCAUAUCACUGGAGAAUUGA